AUACCAUGAUGAGGACACCUUCUGAGCAAUUCUUUGAAUCAUUCCCAAGCCUCGAACAAACUUUCAUCUUCUAGUUGAUGGAAGGAAGUAAUCUCAUUUCGCAACUU
rnacentral:snoRNA from 1 species